CGAAGAACCUUACUAGCGGGCCUUGUACACACCGAAACGUCCAGAGAUGGGCGCCCCCUUGUGGUCGGUGUACAGGUGGUGCAUGGCUGUCGUCAGCUCGUGUCGUGAGAUGUUGGGUUAAGUCCCGCAACGAGCGCAACCCUUGUUCUGUGUUGCCAGCAUGCCCUUCGGGGUGAUGGGGACUCACAGGAGACCGCCGGGGUCAACCCGGAGGAAGGUGGGGACGACGUCAAGUCAUCAUGCCCCUUAUGUCUUGGGCUGCACACGUGCUACUAUGGCCGGUACAAAGGGUUGCGAUACUGUGAGGUGGAGCUAAUCCCAAAAAGCCGGUCUCAGUUCGGAUUGGGGUCUGCAACUCGACCCCAUGAAGUCGGAAUCGCUAGUAAUCGCGGAUCAGAAAUCCGUGCGCUCUACGGGCCUUGUACACACCG
rnacentral:rRNA from 1 species